rnacentral:rRNA from 1 species
AAAAAUUGUACAAUUAUAAAUCCAGAGUAGUAUUAGUUAAGAUCUUGAAACUCAAAAAAUUUGGCGGUAUUUUAGUCUAUUUAGAGGAACCUGUAGUAUAAUCGAUAAUCCACGAUGGACCUCACUUAAUUUUGUUUUUCAGUUUGUAUACCGCUGUUAUUUGAAGAUUUUAUAAGAAUAUUAAUUUUCAUAAUUUUAAAUUAAAAAAUAUAUCAGGUCAAGGUGCAGCUUAUGAUUAAGAAUUUAUGGGUUACAAUAAAAUUAUUUAUACGAAUAAAUAUAUGAAAUUGUAUUUUGAAGGUGGAUUUAAUAGUAAAUUUUUAAAGAUAAAAGAAUUGAUU